rnacentral:piRNA from 1 species
UGGCCACUCCUUAAACCUGUGUGUCUGCC